GUGAAUCAUCGAAUCUUUGAACGCACAUUGCGCCCCUUGGUAUUCCGAGGGGCAUGCCCGUUCGAGCGUCAUUAUAACCCCUCAAGCCUAGCUUGGUGUUGGGGCCUGCUGUUACCGGCAGCCCUUAAAAUCAGUGGCGGUGCCAUCUGGCUCUAAGCGUAGUAAUACUUCUCGCUACAGGGUCCCGGUGGAUGCUUGCCAUCAACCCCUAAUUUUCUAUGGUUGACCUCGGAUCGGGUAGGGAUACCCGCUGAACUUAAGCAUAUCAAUAAGCGGAGGA
rnacentral:misc_RNA from 1 species